rnacentral:lncRNA from 1 species
GUGGUAGCGCCGGCGGUGGUCAAAGUUCUCUGGGAUACCUCUUUGGAAGCGGUGAGCCCCCCAAACCAGCAGUGGCACCACCAGCUGCAUGUGCUCCACCUGCUGAGAAACCAUCGGCUGCAAAGCCUGAUGCCACCAAACAGGUUGCUGCUGGGGUCACCAGCCAAACCAAUAACUACCACAGGGCUGAUGGCCAGAACACCGGGAACUUCCUUACGGUAUGCUAGUUUACCUUCUUUCAUUUCACAUAAGACUUUGUUUUACAUAUUUGUUGCCAUCAUCUGUUGAUAUGCUUAGAAAUGAUGUCAUAGUUUGUGAGAUGUUUAGAUGAGGUGUAAUCAUGUUAUGAGAAAGCAGUAUGGUAGUUUGUGUUGUGUUGUCACAUAAUGUAUGUACUUAUUCUAACAACCUGCUAGAAUUAUGUUGAUGGAAAGACUUCCAAUCACGUAUAUUGCUCUUUAAAUCGUACUGAGUCUUGAUUCUUGUGGGGUUGUUGACCUGUUGUGCUACAUCCUGAAUUCUUGAAUGUUUGGACCAUCAAUCAUGAGCAAGGUUUUAAAUAGCGGGCUAAGGUGUUUAGCAGUCUAUGUCUAAAACAGCUAAUAGCGGAGCUAAAUCGGGCUAUAGCGGGAUAUAGCGGCUAAAUUGUACAUAAACAUAAAUAGCGGUACCCUGCCUCAAAAGGCUAUAGCGGCAGCAAUAGCGAGAGAUUUAAAACUAUGAUCAUGAGCCAUGUACCAUUUUAUCGCCAACACUAAAUGCUAACACCUUGUUAGUGGCAAAAAAUUUAAUGCCCCUAAGAAAAUAGUCAGACCAUGUCUUUCCAUAAACCAUUGGCUAGAACCUGCUGAACCAAACAUUCCCAUAGUUGUGUCAUGACACAGAAUCUGAUUGGGCAAUACAAGAGUGCAAAUUAGGAAUCCUCAUCCUCAUUCCAGGGAAUACUGAAUUAUGAAUCCUAUUGCAGUUUCAUUCAAAACUACAGAUUCAUAUAUGAAACAUUGUUGCAAACUAAAUAUAUAACAGAGAAAGCAGGUGAACCUGGUUUACCUAAUCACUCCCCAGAAACCAAACCUUGUUUCUUCAUUUACCAGUUAUGCAAAUGCAACCGUGUCAUACUAAUUCUUGGACCUGGUUAACUGAUAGUGUUGUUAUUUGUGAAUGGUUGCAGGAUCGUCCUUCGACGAAGGUCCACGCUGCUCCUGGCGGUGGCUCUUCCCUGGGCUACCUGUUUGGUGGCAAUUGAUGCCCACGUCGGAGCUCACCAAGUUAUCCUCCCCUGCCCCGCUGCAUGUUAUGCCAUGUCUGAAUCAUGAACAACUGGUGUUGUCGUUUCAUGUGUGUGUGUGCC